AGAGUUUGAUCAUGGCUCAGGAUGAACGCUAGCGGCAGGCUUAAUACAUGCAAGUCGAACGGUAACAUGAGAGCUUGCUCUUGAUGACGAGUGGCGCACGGGUGCGUAACGCGUAUGCAACCUACCCUUUACUGGAGGAUAGCCCGAAGAAAUUCGGAUUAAUACUCCAUGGUAUCAUAAAACAGCAUUGUUUAAUGAUUAAAGAUUUAUUGGUAAAGGAUGGGCAUGCGUGACAUUAGUUAGUUGGUGAGGUAACGGCUCACCAAGACGAUGAUGUCUAGGGGUUCUGAGAGGAUGAUCCCCCACACUGGUACUGAGACACGGACCAGACUCCUACGGGAGGCAGCAGUAGGGAAUAUUGGUCAAUGGGCGAGAGCCUGAACCAGCCAUGCCGCGUGUAGGAAGACGGCCUUAUGGGUUGUAAACUACUUUUAUAUAGGAACAAAAAGGUCAUGCGUGACAAACUGAGUGUACUGUAUGAAUAAGCACCGGCUAACUCCGUGCCAGCAGCCGCGGUAAUACGGAGGGUGCAAGCGUUGUCCGGAUUUAUUGGGUUUAAAGGGUGCGUAGGUGGCGUGUUAAGUCAGUGGUGAAAGCCUGCAGCUCAACUGUAGAGGUGCCAUUGAUACUGACAUGCUUGAGUAUGGACGAGGUAGGCGGAAUUUGUGGUGUAGCGGUGAAAUGCAUAGAUACCACAAAGAACACCGAUAGCGAAGGCAGCUUACUGGACCAUAACUGACACUGAGGCACGAAAGUGUGGGUAGCGAACAGGAUUAGAUACCCUGGUAGUCCACACCGUAAACGAUGCUCACUCGAUGUAUGCGAUACACUGUAUGCGUCCAAGGGAAACCGUUAAGUGAGCCACCUGGGGAGUACGCUCGCAAGAGUGAAACUCAAAGGAAUUGACGG
rnacentral:rRNA from 1 species